AACGAACGCUGGCGGCAGGCUUAACACAUGCAAGUCGAGCGCCCCGCAAGGGGAGCGGCAGACGGGUGAGUAACGCGUGGGAAUCUACCCAUCUCUACGGAAUAACGCAUGGAAACGUGUGCUAAUACCGUAUGCGUCCUUCGGGAGAAAGAUUUAUCGGAGAUGGAUGAGCCCGCGUUGGAUUAGCUAGUUGGUGGGGUAAAGGCCUACCAAGGCGACGAUCCAUAGCUGGUCUGAGAGGAUGAUCAGCCACACUGGGACUGAGACACGGCCCAGACUCCUACGGGAGGCAGCAGUGGGGAAUAUUGGACAAUGGGCGCAAGCCUGAUCCAGCCAUGCCGCGUGAGUGAUGAAGGCCCUAGGGUUGUAAAGCUCUUUCACCGGUGAAGAUAAUGACGGUAACCGGAGAAGAAGCCCCGGCUAACUACGUGCCAGCAGCCGCAGUAAAAC
rnacentral:rRNA from 1 species